CCUACGGGAGGCAGCAGUGGGGAAUCUUGCGCAAUGGGCGAAAGCCUGACGCAGCAACGCCGCGUGCGGGAAGAAGGCCUUAGGGUUGUAAACCGCUUUCAGUAGGAACGAAAAUGACGGUACCUGCAGAAGAAGGUGCGGCCAACUACGUGCCAGCAGCCGCGGUGACACGUAGGCACCAAGCGUUGUCCGGAUUUAUUGGGCGUAAAGAGCUCGUAGGCGGUUCAGUAAGUCGGGUGUGAAAACUCUGGGCUUAACCCAGAGCCGCCACUCGAUACUGCUGUGACUUGAGUUCGGUAGGGGAGCAGGGAAUUCCUAGUGUAGCGGUGAAAUGCGCAGAUAUUAGGAGGAACACCGGUGGCGAAGGCGCUGCUCUGGGCCGAUACUGACGCUGAGGAGCGAAAGCGUGGGUAGCAAACAGGAUUAGAUACCCUGGUAGUCCACGCCGUAAACGUUGGGCACUAGGUGUGGGUUCCAACCAACGGAAUCCGCGCCGUCGCUAACGCAUUAAGUGCCCCGCCUGGGGAGUACGGCGGCAACGCUAAAACUCAAAGGAAUUGACGG
rnacentral:rRNA from 1 species